rnacentral:lncRNA from 1 species
CGCGAAAAUUGACUGGCGGUCGGAAGUGAAAAAGAUAAGCGCAAAAUCACAGACAGACAGUACGCAAAAUGCCUAUGUCCUGUUGUGUUUACGGAUGCUCCAGUAGGUCGACCAGAGAAACCGAUAAACGGUAUUUUAGGGUACCAAAAAUAGCCCAACGAAGAGGAGAAAAAUGAAAAAUUCUAACCGAAAAAUGUAGGAAAAAAUGGAUUUUAAAUUUACGUUUACAGUCGGGAGGAGCAGAGUCUGCCAAUGCCCGUGUCUGCAGCGACCACUUCGUCAGAGGCUGCCCAAGUGCUUUGGAUGACGAAGAGUCGGAGGACUGGGCUCCGACGGUCAAUCUCGGCUACGAACGAAAACCCAGAUCGGAAUCAGUUCUCAAACGAGAGAAAAGAAUGAAGCUUAAGGCAGAACAGCAUCGAUGUGCAGAGGCGAUUUUGGAUAUGCAACAGACGGCUGAGAGCCCGGAUUUGAGCCUAGUGACAGUGGAGAACCCCGAACUGCAGCUUCCAGCUGAGAAUCCACAACCAGAAGACUUCAGUGUGAAUGAGACAUUCACUUAUCCAGGUAAGAUAUUGUGCUGAGAUGUAAAACAAACAAGAAUCAUGUCACUUCUCCAUCCUCCUUUGCAAUUACCCAAGUCUUCAGAGGUGUCUCGUUAGACCUCUGGGAAUGGUUUACCUUGAAACAAACAACUGUCACUCUAACGAAGUCCUAAGGAUGUGGCAUGUUUGUUGACGUUAAAGCCGCUACCGCUAACUGUUAGCGUGUUUAAGAUAAAGCAAUAUAAGAACAAACACUCACCCUUGCAAACACCAAACUGUAUCCAUCACGGAGACGUUUUGUUCCAAGGUUGUGGACCCACCCGCUGACAAAAAAAUUGUACGCCUCCAGACUCUUGAAAGCUUUCAUUUGCUGCCUAGUGUAGUAAGAAGUCUGGAGGACCAAGUAGUUGGUGAUAUCCACAGCCUCGAUAGUAGGCAAAUCCUUUACUUCUGUGGUGUAUUCGGACAUUUUCAAAGAAUACGGAUCACGUCCGAUAUAUUUUUUAACUAUCUGUUUAUAUCUCUCCCGAGAAACGGGGUCUAAAGUUGCACAAUAGCUGCUCUCCUGACUCUCCACAGUGUCCUCCAUGUUUACUUCCGCCCUCCACUCAAAAAUCGCGCUGCCUCCGCACGUCAUCAGAACCACGUGACCGCAACCCAACUAUUGAUAGAAAACAGAUUGAUGUGUUUUUUUUCAUGUUUGGAGUGUUUAUAGAGGCAGUAGAGACCCAUAUUUCAGCACAAAAGGAGACAAAGCUGAGUUUUGCAUAAUAUUUCCCCUUCCAAGUGACAGAGCCCUUAAACCUGAAACAUCCUGUUUUUCAGACCUCCUCCACUGAGGAUGAACGGCUGA